rnacentral:rRNA from 1 species
GACGAACGCUGGCGGCGUGCUUAACACAUGCAAGUCGAACGGAAAGGCCUCUUUCGGGGGGUACUCGAGUGGCGAACGGGUGAGUAACACGUGAGUAACCUGCCCUUGACUUUGGGAUAACUUCAGGAAACUGGGGCUAAUACCGGAUAGGAGCUCCUGCUGCAUGGUGGGGGUUGGAAAGUUUCGGCGGUUGGGGAUGGACUCGCGGCUGAUCAGCUUGUUGGUGGGGUAGUGGCUUACCAAGGCUUUGACGGGUAGCCGGCCUGGGAGGGUGACCGGCCACAUUGGGACUGGGAUACGGCCCAGACUCCUACGGGAGGCAGCAGUGGGGAAUGUUGCACAAUGGGUGGAAGCCUGAUGCAGCAACGCCGUGGGCGGGAUGACGGCCUUCGGGUUGUAAACCGCUUUCGCUCAUGACGAAGCUUUGUGUGACGGUAGUGGGUAAAGAAGCACCGGCUAACUACGUG